GAUGAACGCUGGCGGCGUGCCUAAUACAUGCAAGUCGAACGAAACUUCUUUAUCACCGAGUGCUUGCGCUCACCGAUAAAGAGUUGAGUGGCGAACGGGUGAGUAACACGUGGGCAACCUGCCCAAAAGAGGGGGAUAACACUUGGAAACAGGUGCUAAUACCGCAUAACCAUAGUUACCGCAUGGUAACUAUGUAAAAGGUGGCUAUACUACCGCUUUUGGAUGGGCCCGCGGCGCAUUAGCUAGUUGGUAGGGUAAAGGCUUACCAAGGCAAUGAUGCGUAGCCGAAUUGAGAGGUUGAUCGGCCACAUUGGGACUGAGACACGGCCCAAACUCCUACGGGAGGCAGCAGUAGGGAAUCUUCCACAAUGGGCGAAAGCCUGAUGGAGCAACGCCGCGUGGGUGAAGAAGGUCUUCGGAUCGUAAAACCCUGUUGUUAGAGAAGAAAGUGCGUGAGAGUAGCUGUUCACGUUUCGACGGUAUCUAACCAGAAAGCCACGGCUAACUACGUG
rnacentral:rRNA from 1 species